UACUAAUACCACUGUAGUAUCGAGUAUGUCAUUGAUAAGUAAAUAGACAUCCAUGUGACUACUCAUGUUGGUCACGCUCGGUAUUAUUGUUCUCUAACAAUCACCUGUACUCUCACUUCAAUAUCCCCACUCUAUAGAUUCAAGACUCAUUUAUUCAGAGAAAAGUGAUCAGUGCAUCAAUCUAUCUGGAUCAAUCACCAUCCUCAUGAUGAUCCAU
rnacentral:lncRNA from 1 species